rnacentral:rRNA from 1 species
AGAGUUUGAUCCUGGCUCAGGAUGAACGCUAGCGGGAGGCCUAACACAUGCAAGCCGAGGGGUAUUAAGGAGCUUGCUUCUUGAGAGACCGGCGCACGGGUGCGUAACGCGUAUGUAACUUGCCUCUAUCACUGGGAUAGCCCGGGGAAACCCGGAUUAAUACCGGAUAUACUAAGUAGUAACCUUACUAUUUAUUCAAAGAUUUAUCGGAUAGAGAUAGGCAUGCGUAGGAUUAGUUAGUUGGUAAGGUAACGGCUUACCAAGACGAUGAUCCUUAGGGGGCCUGAGAGGGUGAUCCCCCACACUGGAACUGAGACACGGACCAGACUCCUACGGGAGGCAGCAGUGAGGAAUAUUGGACAAUGGGUGAGAGCCUGAUCCAGCCAUCCCGCGUGAAGGACGACAGCCCUAUGGGUUUUAAACUUCUUUUGUAUGGGGAUAAACCUAUCUACGUGUAGAUAGCUGAAGGUACCAUACGAAUAAGCAUCGGCUAACUCCGUGCCAGCAGCCGCGGUAAUACGGAGGAUGCAAGCGUUAUCCGGAUUUAUUGGGUUUAAAGGGUCCGUAGGCGGAUUUGUAAGUCAGCGGUGAAAUCCUACAGCUUAACUGUAGAACUGCCGUUGAUACUGCAAGUCUUGAAUAGUAUUGAAGUAGCCGGAAUGUGUAGUGUAGCGGUGAAAUGCAUAGAUAUUACACAGAACACCAAUUGCGAAGGCAGGUUACUAAAUACCGAUUGACGCUGAUGGACGAAAGCGUGGGGAGCGAACAGGAUUAGAUACCCUGGUAGUCCACGCCGUAAACGAUGGAUACUCGCUGUUGGGCUUUAGGGCUCAGCGGCUAAGCGAAAGUAAUAAGUAUCCCACCUGGGGAGUACGACCGCAAGGUUGAAACUCAAAGGAAUUGACGGGGGCCCGCACAAGCGG